UUUUCUUUGUUCUUAUUUCCUUCCUCUUCCCUUGUUCCCACACGGCAGUACCUUACUUCUCACCGACAGCCCUCCCUCUCUCGUUGAAACCAUAUAUCUUUCUCUAAGAAGGAAUCAAACUCUUACUAAAAUUUCAGCUUCAGUUGUGGGUGUUACCAGUCGCCAAGUCUAAGCUCCUUCGACUGUAGGCUUUUGAUUCCUCUUCUUUCAGUCAACAGGUUUUAUUUUGGAGUAGAGGGAGCCUUAGUCGAGUUUUGAAAGGAGCUGGUUUUAGUUUUAAAAGUAUAGAUCCCAAAUUAGCAUUUUGAUGUUUAGCUUUGUAGUAUUGUGUAUUUUAGGAUCUAAUGAAAGUUGUGUGCUUUAAAGUAUUAAGAGAUGUAUUAUGUGAAAUUUAGAAUUUGAGUGACUGGUGGAUUAUGUUAUUCUUUGAGUACAGUUUAGAUGCUCUGAAUGUCAAGUGAAAAAAUUAUAUCAUUUAAGUUAAGAAACAAGAAUAAAAAGAAAGAGGGAAGCUUUUGUAAAAUUUUAGUUGAUUCUUAUUAAUACCAGGUUUAGGCUUGAUAUUAACAUGCCGGUCAUGGUCACAAAUCCGGGUAUCGGGUUCGAGAUGUGACAAACUUUGCUCAGUUGAAGCUGAAGAAGGCGGAACACAAUGCCAAGAGAGUGUUUGAGAAGCUCAAAGACAUGAAGGUGCUUCCCAUUUCUAACAUGGAGGAGGCACAGUUCAUCCUCUAUCUUCAGACUGAGUUGGGCUUUGCCAGAAAAGGAAAGCUCAGCUUCGAGUUGUCAGUUGAGGCAAGAGGGUGUCCGAGGAUCGAGGAGGGACGAAUAAGAGGUAAUACUCAUAAUUUUGCCCGAAGAGCCUAUUCAGCUUGAGGACUCCAUCGGUCCGAGAAUGGAAGGAAAGGAGAGGUACUAUUGUAUGAGUGUCCUCUCAGAAGGAAGCAUUACGGGGAAGGGCCAAAUUAGUGGGAAGAAGUUUCCUGCAAAAGUUUACCUACUACCUCCACAUUGAAUGCAUAUCAACAACCUUAUCAACUGCAUUAAUAAGGAAAUGACACUUGAACUGUAGAUUUAUUGCUAGGCAACCCCUUCUACCACCUUCAACAGAACUUUGAUGGGACAAAUGUCAUAAAGGAAGCUCUGAAGUAUACAGGUGGAGGGCUAUGAUGCAAAGGAGAGGAGUAUAUAAGGGAGGGGAACCUCCCAGUUAAAGGGAUCUGGACUAUUCUUUGAAAAGCAUAAUUAAGGAGAUAAGAACUUAAACAGUGGAGAGAGACCUGAA